rnacentral:tRNA from 1 species
UCCCUGGUGGCUCAGCUGGUAAAGAAUCUGCCUGCAAUGCGGGAGACCUGGGUUCAAUCCCUGGCUUGGGAG